UCUCCGGAGAGAGUGUGUCGCUUACCCGCGCGGCCUUCUGGGCGUGGCCGGCGCAAUCGGGGCGGCGAAUCCCGGAACCCCUAGACUCCGGUUCCAGCCCCCCCAUGGGACUUAAGACCCUCCCCCCCACCCACCGUAGGCUUCCCGCCUCGGGCUGCGGCCUUCGGCCUCUUCACAUCACCGCGAAACGUACGCCUGCCUAACCCAAGAAUUUUCUACGCACUUUUUCCUGACUCUGGCCACUCUCUUGAUCAGCUGUCUUUCCAGGUCUUCACCUUAGGAAGCAAUGCCCUCGCAUUAACCAAGAGGCAGUUUGAUGUGGUGAUUAAAAGCAUGGACUCUUGUGUCAGACUGCUGGGGUUCAAAUCCCAGCAUCCCCCCUUACCAGCUGUGCAAUCUUAGGCAUCACUUGUGGAACGGAGAUCGUCUUACCUACCGUAGGCUUGCUGGGCACCUAGAACUCCACCAGGAAGUAGAAAGGAUCAAGUGUCGUCCAACAUAGCUGCAUUUCUCAAAAGCAUUUAUGAAGUACUUUGUGUUUGGAGGCAGUUUGUGACUCGAACACUGGCGAAUGGUCUCA